GAUGAACGCUGGCGGCGUGCCUAAUACAUGCAAGUCGAGCGAACAGACGAGGAGCUUGCUCCUCUGACGUUAGCGGCGGACGGGUGAGUAACACGUGGAUAACCUACCUAUAAGACUGGGAUAACUUCGGGAAACCGGAGCUAAUACCGGAUAAUAUAUUGAACCGCAUGGUUCAAUAGUGAAAGACGGUUUUGCUGUCACUUAUAGAUGGAUCCGCGCCGCAUUAGCUAGUUGGUAAGGUAACGGCUUACCAAGGCAACGAUGCGUAGCCGACCUGAGAGGGUGAUCGGCCACACGGGAACUGAGACACGGUCCAGACUCCUACGGGAGGCAGCAGUAGGGAAUCUUCCGAAAGGGGCGAAAGCCUGACGGAGCAACGCCGCGUGAGUGAUGAAGGUCUUCGGAUCGUAAAACUCUGUUAUUAGGGAAGAACAAAUGUGUAAGUAACGAUGCACGUCUUGACGGUACCUAAGCAGAAAGCCACGGCUAACUACGU
rnacentral:rRNA from 1 species